rnacentral:rRNA from 1 species
AGAGUUUGAUCCUGGCUCAGAUUGAACGCUGGCGGCAGGCUUAACACAUGCAAGUCGAACGGUAGCAGGUAAGUACUUGUACUUAUGCUGACGAGUGGCGGACGGGUGAGUAAUGCUUGGGGAUCUGGCUUAUGGAGGGGGAUAACGACGGGAAACUGUCGCUAAUACCGCGUAGAAUCGAGAGAUGAAAGUGUGGGACCUUCGGGCCACAUGCCAUAGGAUGAACCCAAGUGGGAUUAGGUAGUUGGUGGGGUAAUGGCCUACCAAGCCGACGAUCUCUAGCUGGUCUGAGAGGAUGACCAGCCACACCGGGACUGAGACACGGCCCGGACUCCUACGGGAGGCAGCAGAAGGGCGAAUU